rfam:Triticum aestivum genome assembly, contig: Triticum_aestivum_CS42_TGACv1_scaffold_129453_2BL
AAAGUACUCCCUCCGUUCGGAAUUACUCGUCCAAAAAAUGAAUGUAUCUAGACAUCUAUUUUUAUUCAUUUUCGUGACAAGUAAUUCUGAACGGAGGGAGUAGUUA